CAAUGUGCUUCUAUUUUUUUCAGGCUAAAUCUACCCAAGACAUUGGCUGUCAGACUGAUUUAGCUGCAAGAAUGCACUUGUCCAGGCUGAUGUGAAGCCUUACCCGUAGCAAAGGUGAAUUAUUUUUAAUAAUCUUCUAUGUAAACAUUUUAUUAUUACCUUCUAGUUUUUAUGUGUUUUACAGAUUAUUGUUACACGUGAUUUUAUGCUCUUUUAAACAUUUAUAAAUGUGCUGCUUCUUUGUUUUUACGUAGCCAGCCAGAAUAUAGCUCACAGCCGCAGUGUGUCUUGUGACACAGAGACCAUGACGGAAAUUCAUCUUCCAGAAAGUCCCAGAGCAGCGUCCACACCCCUGAAAAGACCAAGAUGUGAGGUGUCUGCUGUUGAUUCCAGCUUCCACCUCAGUGACAGUGCAAGCUCAGUGAACUGUUCAAGGUAAAAAAAAAUUAAAACAUUUCAGAAUUUUUAAGAUAUUAACAAUUAAAUAAGUAUGUGAUUACAUCAUGACAUCAUGAAGGAGGCUACUGAUUCUGGCCCUGUGACACUUGGUGGUGACGUGUGAGCUGAUUCACCUGGACACUCAGCAAAAUAUGGACUCUACACCAUGAUGCAGGCACACGUUAAUACUCUAUAACAGCACAUAAGCAUGAGGACGUCCUCACACACCUGUAACCUAUCAGCUCAUCUGGCAGAAUAGAGAGAGAAGAGACAACACCACAUCUCCUGUUCCUGGAAAGCCUUCAGCCAUCCUUCGAUGACUGAGAACCUCCACCAGUUCUGUCUCCUGUCUGCCUACUAUUAUUAUAAUAAAUAUUGUGUUUGACAAGUUUUUUGUGCUGCCAAAUAUCUCAUUUAGAUUCCAGUUUUGAUAUUUUAAUGGAUAUUUAUAAAUUACAUUGAUUAUCACAUUGUUGCAUGUUUAACUAGCUCUAUUGUGAUGAAUUAAACUAGCACCUCACUGUUAAAAGCUCGUUUUAAUUUCAAGCAUGUUUAAGUAUUUAUGGACAUGAACAAAAACAGGAAAUAUAUAAAUUGAGAUUUAUUUAAUUAAUAUAACAAAUAAGGGGGAAAGAGUCAUUGAAAGGCACAUUCUUCCGGAAGCUCCUGAUCCUGACGACACCAGACCAGCUGCAGACACCAGAGGACCUAGAACCAAGAGAGCAGCUGUUAUCAGUAAAUAAAUAAAUCAUGGCAGUUUUAGUGGGCUGAACACAUUACAGAAUAAUUUUCUCAUCGGGUAGUUUCAUAACUUUCUA